rfam:Lachnoclostridium sp. An14 An14_contig_1, whole genome shotgun sequence.
AGAAAAGGUAGAGGUCGCGCGACCUAAGAGUACCCGCCGGAUGCCGCAGGGGCAGAGGAAGGCGGAGGAAAGGGGGAAGCGCCGAAGGAGUGGGCUGCCUGCCGGCGUACUUCUGGGCAUAGGGUUAAGAGCCCUGUGACUGUCAUCCGGACGGAUGGAGAGCUACUGAUCAG